rnacentral:rRNA from 1 species
UGGGGAAUAUUGGACAAUGGGCGAAAGCCUGAUCCAGCCAUGCCGCGUGAGUGAUGAAGGCCUUCGGGUCGUAAAGCUCUGUGGGGAGGGACGAACGACCAAGGGGAUAAUACCCUCUUGGAGUGACGGUACCUCCUUAGCAAGCACCGGCUAACUCCGUGCCAGCAGCCGCGGUAAUACGGAGGGUGCAAACGUUGCUCGGAAUUAUUGGGCGUAAAGCGCACGUAGGCGGUCGUUUAAGUCAGAUGUGAAAGCCCCGGGCUCAACCCGGGAAGCGCAUCCGAAACUGGACGGCUGGAGUACAGAAGAGGGUCUCGGAAUUCCCGGUGUAGAGGUGAAAUUCGUAGAUAUCGGGAGGAACACCAGUGGCGAAGGCGGAGACCUGGGCUGAUACUGACGCUGAGGUGCGAAAGCGUGGGGAGCAAACAG